rnacentral:rRNA from 1 species
GAUCACUUCGGUGACCUGCCGCUUUUGGAUGGGCUCGCGGCCUAUCAGCUUGUUGGUGAGGUAAAGGCUCACCAAGGCUACGACGGGUAACUGGUCUGAAAGGACGAUCAGUCACACUGGAACUGAGACACGGUCCAGACACCUACGGGUGGCAGCAGUCGAGAAUCAUUCGCAAUGGGGGAAACCCUGACGGUGCGACGCCGCGUGGAGGAUGAAGGCCCUAGGGUCGUAAACUCCUGUCAUCAGAGAGUAAGGCUUAUCGGUUAAUAACCGGUAAGAUUGAUAGUAUCUGAAGAGGAAGGGACGGCUAACUUCGUGCCAGCAGCCGCGGUAAUACGAAGGUCCCAAGCGUUGUUCGGAUUUACUGGGCGUAAAGCGUGCGUAGGCGGCGAGGUAAGUCAGAUGUGAAAUCCCGGGGCUCAACCCCGGAACUGCAUCCGAUACUGCCCUGCUAGAGUAAUGGAGGGGCAUCUGGAAUUCAUGGUGUAGCAAUGAAAUGCGUAGAUAUCAUGAGGAACACUAGUGGCGAAGGCGAGAUGCUGGACAUUUACUGACGCUGAGGUACGAAGGCCAGGGUAGCGAAAAGGAUUAGAUACCCCUUGUAGUCCUGGCAGUAAACGGUGCUCGCUUGGUGUGGGGAGGUUCGACCCUCUCCGUGCCGGAGCUAACGCGUUAAGCGAGCCGCCUGGGGAGUACGGUCGCAAGACUAAAACUCAAAGAAAUUGACGGGGACCCGCACAAGCGGUGGAGUAUGUGGCUUAAUUCGAUGCAACGCGAAGAACCUUACCUGGGUUUGACAUGCUUGUCAUAUCCUGAUGAAAGUCGGGAGUCACUUCGGGUGGACAUGCACAGGUGCUGCAUGGCUGUCGUCAGCUCGUGUCGUGAGAUGUUCGGUUAAGUCCGGCAACGAGCGCAACCCCUGUGAACUGUUGCCAGCGAGUAAUGUCGGGGACUUUGUUCAGACUGCCGGUAUUUAAAUCGGAGGAAGGUGGGGACGACGUCAAGUCAGUAUGGCCCUUAUACCCAGGGCUGCACACGUACUACAAUGCCCAGUACAAUGAGAUCCGAUACCGCGAGGUGGAGGAAAUCCUGAAAACUGGGCUCAGUUCGGAUCGGAGGUUGCAACUCGCCUCCGUGAAGUUGGAAUCGCUAGUAAUGGCACAUCAGCUACGGUGCCGUGAAUACGUUCCCGGGUCUUGU